ACCGAUAGUGAACCAGUACCGUGAGGGAAAGGCGAAAAGAACCCCGGCGAGGGGAGUGAAAAAGAACCUGAAACCGUGUACGUACAAGCAGUGGGAGCCUCUUUAUGGGGUGACUGCGUACCUUUUGUAUAAUGGGUCAGCGACUUAUAUUCUGUAGCAAGGUUAACCGUAUAGGGGAGCCGAAGGGAAACCGAGUCUUAACUGGGCGUUAAGUUGCAGGGUAUAGACCCGAAACCCGGUGAUCUAGCCAUGGGCAGGUUGAAGGUUGGGUAACACUAACUGGAGGACCGAACCGACUAAUGUUGAAAAAUUAGCGGAUGACUUGUGGCUGGGGGUGAAAGGCCAAUCAAACCGGGAGAUAGCUGGUUCUCCCCGAAAGCUAUUUAGGUAGCGCCUCGUGAAUUCAUCUUCGGGGGUAGAGCACUGUUUCGGCUAGGGGGUCAUCCCGACUUACCAACCCGAUGCAAACUGCGAAUACCGAAGAAUGUUAUCACGGGAGACACACGGCGGGUGCUAACGUCCGUCGUGAAGAGGGAAACAACCCAGACCGCCAGCUAAGGUCCCAAAGUCAUGGUUAAGUGGGAAACGAUGUGGGAAGGCACAGACAGCCAGGAUGUUGGCUUAGAAGCAGCCAUCAUUUAAAGAAAGCGUAAUAGCUCACUGGUCGAGUCGGCCUGCGCGGAAGAUGUAACGGGGCUAAACCAUGCACCGAAGCUGCGGCAGCGACACUAUGUGUUGUUGGGUAGGGGAGCGU
rnacentral:rRNA from 1 species